GUGCCAGCAGCCGCGGUAAUACGGAGGAUCCAAGCGUUAUCCGGAAUCAUUGGGUUUAAAGGGUCCGUAGGCGGGCCAUUAAGUCAGGGGUGAAAGUCUGCAGCUCAACUGUAGAAUUGCCCUUGAUACUGGUGGCCUUGAGUUAUAGUGAAGUAACUAGAAUAUGUAGUGUAGCGGUGAAAUGCAUAGAUAUUACAUAGAAUACCGAUUGCGAAGGCAGGUUACUAACUAUAUACUGACGCUGAUGGACGAAAGCGUGGGGAGCGAACAGGAUUAGAUACCCUGGUAGUCCACGCCGUAAACGAUGGAUACUAGCUGUCCGGAUGCAAAUCUGGGCGGCCAAGCGAAAGUGAUAAGUAUCCCACCUGGGGAGUACGUCCGCAAGGAUGAAACUCAAAGGAAUUGACGG
rnacentral:rRNA from 1 species